UACAGAGGUCUCAAGCGUUGUUCGGAUUCAUUGGGCGUAAAGGGUGCGUAGGUGGCGUCGUAAGUGGGGUGUGAAAUCCCGGGGCUUAACCCCGGGACUGCAUUCCAUACUGCGGUGCUUGAGGACUGGAGAGGAGACUGGAAUUUACGGUGUAGCGGUGAAAUGCGUAGAUAUCGUAAGGAAGACCAGUGGCGAAGGCGGGUCUCUGGACAGUUCCUGACGCUGAGGCACGAAGGUCAGGGGAGCAAGCGGG
rnacentral:rRNA from 1 species